GCCAGGCGUGUUGGCAGACACCUGUAAUCCCAGCUACUUGGGAGGCUGAGGCAGUGGAAUCACUCGAACCCAGGAGACAGAGGUUGCAGUGAACCAAGAUUGCACCACUGCACUCCAGCCUGGGUGACAGAGUGAGACUCUGUCUCAA
ensembl:misc_RNA Metazoa_SRP Metazoan signal recognition particle RNA